CAGACAGGUCCAGAGCUUAGCUGCCCCUGGGCGCUUUAGAUCACACACCCACCUGCCCCAGAGCGGAGCAGUGUGGCUGAAUCUGAGCCCCCCUGAGAGGGCCAGGGUCUUUCCGCUCACGGCUCGCGGACAUGGAGCCGCCUGUGGAAUGCUCAGGCUCUAAGAUGCCUGGCUCCUUUGGCUCCUGUAAAACUGUGCUAAGGCCACACGCACUGUACAUCAGAGGAGCUGAAUUUACUGGGCCAUUGACAUUUCAAAUGCAUGUGUUACUGUGUUUUCAGUUUUCAGGAUCAAUUGUUUGAUUGAUAAUUGGAUUGUUUGGAUUAAAAAAGAUUUGUGCAAAUGUGUUUUUCUUCACCUUCAUUUUCCCCUAGGGCCCGAAUACAAUAAUGAUAUGUAUGGUCAUCCUGCUGAACAUCGGACUAGCCAUACUGUUCGUACACAUCCUUUCCUGAAGCCUUGCAAACCCAGAUUCUCCACCCGUGUGGCGCUGGAGGAACAGGAGGAGCAUGGCCUCUGCCUUUACACUGGACCAUCGUGAACAUAGACUCUUCCCUGAUGCUUAGAGGGGCUGCAGCCCAGGGAUGACGGCCGAUCUGCUGGAGCAGUCCACUCUGAGCUCCGCCUGAAAGUGGACGAUGCCGCUCUCAUCUGCUGCCACUCACGGCAAGACAUACAGACAGACAGACAGACAGACAGACAGAUAGCUGCUUGGCCUGCCAGACACCAAGAGCAGUUAUCCCCUCCACCCCCCACCCCACCCCCAACCCAACGAGGAAGUUCCCCCACUCCCUCACUGCUCUGCUCUCAUGUGGAGAGAGGAUGUGGCCUCAGAUGUGAGGGGAUGCAGUAAGCAGCAGGGAGUUGGUAAAGCCGUGCUGCUGGUCUGGAUGAGAUGCUGGCUGUAAGGGGGUUUCGGUAAAGUGCUCUUAGUGGAUCACAACAGAGAUCUAGAAACUACUUCAUGAUACAGAAAAUGGAGCUCUUUACAGAAUACCAACCGGAAAUUCAUCAAGAUAUUUUGAUGGUUGUCUGAUUUCUUUGUGUUAGAAUUGACAAGUAGUCUAAUGAAAAUUCAUGAAAUUAAACAAAAUUAUGUUAUAAAGCCUAAACAAAGAUGGCAAAUACAUCAAAGAAAAAAGUGUAUUCUCUAUUGAUUUAUUAUUUAUGUCACUGGAUUGUUUCUGUUUUCAAGUAAUAUCCAAACAUUAUCUAUCUGUAACUUACAUGUACUGAGCAAAAUGUCUUAAAGAGUUUGCUAAUUUCACUGGUAGGCUGCUCAGAGUGCACGAUGAGUGAUCUUUGCACGUUGCAUUCUAGCGGCAGGAAAUCGCUUAUUCUUUCACGGUGGCAGAAAUCACUUUUUACCAUGAAUUCAGUUGGUCAUGACGGAAUGCUGUAGUAUUUAUGAAAUUAUUGAUUUGUAACGUGACUUGCUUGCACUUGUUUGACUUGUGAGCCGGAUGGGUGUCAGAGCAAAUGGAGGAGAGGAAAGAGGUGGAAGGACCUGGCACUGCUUUUGAAACCACUGUGUUAUUGGAGAUCAUGUGAAAAGGUUGUUAAAGUAAGUGCCAUGGAAUGUGUGUCUGCUGGUUGUAUUUGAAGAACACAGCACUACAACUGUAGGAGUUUGUGGUUGGGCAGAAGAAACUGAUUUUAAUCUCACUGUUCUGUAGAUAGUUUUUAAAAAUGUCUCGUUUUUUGGGGUGGUUAAUUAAUCAAAUUCAAAUCAAAAUCAAAUUGACUGAGAAAAAAAGAAAAAAAAUUUAAAAAAGAGAUAUGAAUUCAUUUGCUGGAGGCUGUUGUUAUGUGUUUUUUUUGCGCAUUUGGUCAUUUUACAUCUAAAAAUAUGUGUGUGUUACACACACCUGUGAUUGCAGUAGUCAUGUACUGUCCCAUAUUUCAAAUGUGUGCAUGUUGUUCUGAGGGAGUGUAUUCCUACCUUUUCACAACAAUUCAAAUAGUGUCAUACGUUUGACUUUAGCUGAACUCAAUUAGCCUAUAAAUCUGUGACUUUAUGCAGUGUCCCCUGUAGUUUCACUGGAUUUGUGAAAUUUAGAAAAUAAAAGUACUUUGCUAGAACCUCAGGUACUAUUGCACUGUAGGAAGUAGGGUGUCAAUGGCAUGAACAUACACAAACACACACUAACACACUCUAUCAUUAUUGAUCUCACAAGUCACAAGUAGGUUUUAAAGGCUAUCUCUGUGUGUCAGCCAAAUUCUACAGUAUGUUAUGGGUGUGAAUGUUCACUCAAACCAUUUUAUUUCACCUGUUUGUUAACUGCCCUGUUAAAAUGUUUAUUUAUGGACGUUUACUUGUAUGUUUUAAUCUGCUGGCAGCAUCCCAGUGUAGAGAUAUUUUUGUUUGUUUAGAGAAUUAUUUUCAUGUAUUAUCUUCAUGUAGCCCUGUGGUCACAUUGAUAAAAGGCCCCAGCUUGUAGGUUGGAUGUGAUUGAGGCCCUCACUGAAGUCUGUCAUCUAGAUAUUUAUUUCUGAUUCUGCUUUGCAUCAGUCAAAUUGAAAUAAAACUAUUUUUCAGCUCAAACUUAA